rnacentral:rRNA from 1 species
GGUGAACGCUGGCGGUAGGCCUAACACAUGCAAGUCGAACGGCAGCACAGUAAGAGCUUGCUCUUACGGGUGGCGAGUGGCGGACGGGUGAGGAAUACAUCGGAAUCUACUUUUUCGUGGGGGAUAACGUAGGGAAGCUUACGCUAAUACCGCAUACGACCUACGGGUGAAAGCAGGGGAUCUUCGGACCUUGCGCGAUUGAAUGAGCCGAUGUCGGAUUAGCUAGUUGGCGGGGUAAAGGCCCACCAAGGCGACGAUCCGCAGCUGGUCUGAGAGGAUGAUCAGCCACACUGGAACUGAGACACGGUCCAGACUCCUACGGGAGGCAGCAGUGGGGAAUAUUGGACAAUGGGCGCAAGCCUGAUCCAGCCAUACCGCGUGGGUGAAGAAGGCCUUCGGGUUGUAAAGCCCUUUUGUUGGGAAAGAAAAGCAGCAGGUUAAUACCCCGCUGUUCUGACGGUACCCAAAGAAUAAGCACCGGCUAACUUCGUG